rnacentral:rRNA from 1 species
AUCAAGUUCGAAAGCUCCGGCGCCCAAGGAUGGGUCUGCGGCCUAUCAGGUAGUAGUGGGUGUAAUGGACCUACUAGCCUACAACGGGUACGGGUUGUGAGAGCAAGAGCCCGGAGAUGGAUUCUGAGACACGAAUCCAGGCCCUACGGGGUGCAGCAGGCGCGAAACCUUUACAAUGCUGGCAACAGCGAUAGGGGGACCUCGAGUGCCACCGUACAACGGUGGCUGUCGUUGUGCCUAAAAAGCACGAUAUAGCAAGGGCCGGGCAAGACCGGUGCCAGCCGCCGCGGUAACACCGGCGGCUCGAGUGGUAACCGCUAUUAUUGGGUUUAAAGGGUCUGUAGCCGGCCGGAUAAGUCUCUUGGGAAAUCUGGCAGCUUAACUGUCAGGCUUUCAGGAGAUACUGUUCGGCUCGAGACCGGGAGAGGUGAGAAGUACUUCAGGGGUAGGGGUGAAAUCUUGUAAUCCUUGAAGGACCACCAGUGGCGAAGGCGUCUCACCAGAACGGAUCUGACGGCAAGGGACGAAAGCUAGGGGCACGAACCGGGUUAGAUACCCGGGUAGUCCUAGCCGUAAACAAUACUCGCUAGGUGUCGGCCACGGUGCGACCGUGGUCGGUGCCGUAGGGAAACCGUGAAGCGAGCCACCUGGGAAGUACGGCCGCAAGGCUGAAACUUAAAGGAAUUGGCGGGGGAGCAC